UCUCACAUUUUGCUUAUCUUCUUCAUAGUCUUCUGCUUAUUUCUCAUUUCUGAAAGGAAUUGAGAUAGCAGUCGCUCACUGAGUUCACUUUCCUCUUCGCAUAGUUUAUGUGCCCUGACCUGUGGAUCCGGCACAAGCUAUAGCUAGCAAGAUCAGUCCUGAGAUUUGCAGUUUGUUCGUCAUCAACUCUUGUUGUGGGUUACAUUGAUUGCAUCAAUAAGCCAACCAAGUGAAAAGGAGAUGUGGUAACUUGUAAAAUACUGAUGACAUCAGGAUUAUUGUCCAGAGAGAUGAGUACACAUAGAGAAUUUCAGCUUGCGGCCUUAGACGAAAGAGAGAGUUAGAGUUUAUUUGAAAGCAAGGCGAGUGAAAUCGUUAGAGAUCCCAACAUAAGAACUGUAGCAACAGAAGUAGCCAAUAGAUGUGCCGGUUUGCCAAUUUUUGUUGUCACAGUUGCAAGUGCAUUGAAAAAAGGAACUCUUCCAGAGUGGAAAAAUGCCCUGAAACGCAAGAAAAAAGUUUGAGAAGAAAGGAUUGGCUGAACAAGCAUUCCUGGCUCUGCAAUGGACUUAUGAUCGAUUGGAUGAUGAGGAGCUUAAGCCGUUGUUCUCGCUAUGUGGAGUUAUUGCAUGGAAGAACUCCAUCUCCCUCGAUGACUUGUUCAAAUCUACAAAGGGAUUGGUGAAAUGAGCAC